rnacentral:tRNA from 1 species
CGGGAAGUAGCUCAGCUUGGUAGAGCACUUGGUUUGGGACCAAGGGGUCGCAGGUUCGAAUCCUGUCUUCCGAU